rnacentral:rRNA from 1 species
AGAGUUUGAUCCUGGCUCAGGAUGAACGCUAGCGGCAGGCCUAACACAUGCAAGUCGAGGGGCAGCACGUUAAAGAGUUUACUCUUUAUGGUGGCGACCGGCGGACGGGUGCGUAACGCGUAUGCAACCUGCCUGACACAGGGGGAUAAUCCGAAGAAAUUUGGUCUAAUACCCCAUAAUACCGAUAUAGGCAUCUAUGUUGGUUGAAAGCUUUGGUGGUGUCAGAUGGGCAUGCGUUGUAUUAGCUAGUUGGUGAGGUAACGGCUCACCAAGGCGACGAUACAUAGGGGGACUGAGAGGUUAACCCCCCACAUUGGUACUGAGACACGGACCAAACUCCUACGGGAGGCAGCAGUGAGGAAUAUUGGUCAAUGGACGGAAGUCUGAACCAGCCAUGCCGCGUGCAGGAAGACGGCUCUAUGAGUUGUAAACUGCUUUUGUACUAGGGUAAUUUGCGGUACGUGUACCGUAUUGAAAGUAUAGUACGAAUAAGGAUCGGCUAACUCCGUGCCAGCAGCCGCGGUAAUACGGAGGAUCCAAGCGUUAUCCGGAUUUAUUGGGUUUAAAGGGUGCGUAGGCGGCAGAUUAAGUUAGAGGUGAAAUUCCGAGGCUCAACCUUGGCACUGCCUCUGAUACUGGUUUGCUAGCGAGUAGAUGCUGUAGGCGGAAUGUGUGGUGUAGCGGUGAAAUGCAUAGAGAUCACACAGAACACCGAUUGCGAAGGCAGCUUACAAAUCUAUAUCGGACGCUGAGGCACGAAAGCGUGGGGAGCAAACAGGAUUAGAUACCCUGGUAGUCCACGCAGUAAACGAUGAUAACUCGUUGUCGGCGAUAUACAGUCGGUGACCAAGCGAAAGCGAUAAGUUAUCCACCUGGGGAGUACGUUCGCAAGAAUGAAACUCAAAGGAAUUGACGGGGGCCCGCACAAGCGGAGGAACAUGUGGUUUAAUUCGAUGAUACGCGAGGAACCUUACCCGGGCUUGAAUUGCAACUGAAUGAUGUGGAGACAUGUCAGCCGCAAGGCAGUUGUGAAGGUGCUGCAUGGUUGUCGUCAGCUCGUGCCGUGAGGUGUCGGCUUAAGUGCCAUAACGAGCGCAACCCUUACCGGUAGUUACUAACAGGUCAAGCUGAGGACUCUACCGGGACUGCCAGCGCAAGCUGUGAGGAAGGUGGGGAUGACGUCAAAUCAGCACGGCCCUUACGUCCGGGGCGACACACGUGUUACAAUGGUCGGUACAGAGGGCAGCUACCUGGUGACAGGAUGCGAAUCUCGAAAGCCGGUCUCAGUUCGGAUUGGAGGCUGAAACUCGCCUCCAUGAAGUUGGAUUCGCUAGUAAUCGCGCAUCAGCCAUGGCGCGGUGAAUACGUUCCCGGGCCUUGUACACACCGCCCGUCAAGCCAUGGGAGCCGGGGGUACCUGAAGUGCGUAACCGCAAGGAGCGCCCUAGGGUAAAACUGGUGACUGGGGCUAAGUCGUAACAAGGUAGCCGUACCGGAAGGUGCGGCUG